GAUGAACGCUGGCGGCGUGCCUAAUACAUGCAAGUCGAGCGAACGGACGAGAAGCUUGCUUCUCUGAUGUUAGCGGCGGACGGGUGAGUAACACGUGGAUAACCUACCUAUAAGACUGGGAUAACUUCGGGAAACCGGAGCUAAUACCGGAUAAUAUUUUGAACCGCAUGGUUCAAAAGUGAAAGACGGUCUUGCUGUCACUUAUAGAUGGAUCCGCGCUGCAUUAGCUAGUUGGUAAGGUAACGGCUCCCAAGGCAACGAUGCAUAGCCGACCUGAGAGGGUGAUCGGCCACACUGGAACUGAGACACGGUCCAGACUCCUACGGGAGGCAGCAGUAGGGAAUCUUCCGCAAUGGGCGAAAGCCUGACGGAGCAACGCCGCGUGAGUGAUGAAGGUCUUCGGAUCGUAAAACUCUGUUAUUAGGGAAGAACAUAUGUGUAAGUAACUGUGCACAUCUUGACGGUACCUAAUCAGAAAGCCACGGCUAACUACGUG
rnacentral:rRNA from 1 species